AGCGCGUUAGCUCAGUGGUAGAGCGCGCCCCUGAUAAGGGCGAGGUCGUAGGUUCAAAUCCUGCACACGCUACCA
rnacentral:tRNA from 1 species